AGUGAACGCUGGCGGCGUGCUUAACACAUGCAAGUCGAGCGAAUUUCAGCAGCGUAUCGCUGAAGUUAGCGGCAGACGGGUGAGUAAUACUUGGGCAAUCUGCCCUCGAGAGGGAAACAACCUGCCGAAAGGCGGGCUAAUGUCCCGUAAGACCACAGAGGCGCAUGCUUCAGAGGUCAAAGCUCCGCAAGGGGCACUUGAGGAGGAGUCCAAGGCCUAUCAUGGUAGUUGGUGAGGUAACGGCUCACCAAGCCUGCGACGGGUAGCCGG
rnacentral:rRNA from 1 species